ACGUAAUGGCGGGCGGGGCUGGGGGCGGCGCCGCGGGGACUGCGGCACCGCGAGGGGGAGCUGGGGCGCGGUGCGAGGUGCGGGGGCGCUCAGGCCCGGGUCCGCGCCUGUCGGCUCGCGAGAGGGCUCCCGGCGCCGGCGGCCGGCCGCCAAGGGCGGUGUCGGGGCCUCCGGCCCAGCCCGCCGCGGUCGGCUCGAGGCACCGACGCGGCCCCACCUUGCACUGGCUCCUCAGUAACACCGCAUCCCCCCACCCGUCCACUCUGGACGCCCGACAGGGGCUGGACACCUGGGUCCUGGAACGGGGGUGGGAGGGUCCUCGCCUCCCGGGGCCAGGUGAGAGGCAGCCAGUACCCUCUUGGAGCGGGGAGCCUAGAAUGAGAGCUGCACAGUCCUGUUCAAAGGCCGCUAAGCCACGUGUGGCUACUGAACCCUUGAAAUGUGGGUAGUCUGAAUUGAGAUGUGCUCUAAGUGUAAAAGAGUCACUGGAUUGCAUGGACUCAGUAAGUUAAAAGGCUGUAAAAUAUUCCAUUGCUAAUUUUGUAUAUUGAUUACAUCUCAAAAUAAUAUUUUGGAUAGAUUUUUAAAAUUAAUUUCACUUUUUUUUUUUAACCUUUUUAAAUGACUACUACACUAGUAGUGACUAAACUGGAAAAUGUUCUUACCUAUGUGACUCACAUUGUAUUUCCAUUGAACAGCUCUGCUCUGGAGUAGACAUAAUUACUAUCCCUAUUUCACAGCUCGGAAAAGGAGGCUCAAAGAGCUGACUAGCUACAAAGCUAGUAAGUGAAGUCAUCUGGAUUCCUUCUACAAAGACAAAGCCCAGGUGAGUUUUAAAGGCUUGGUCAGCAUGAGGUAACACCCAAUCGUAAUUGUUCUCAAAGAUGAUCCUGAACGUUGGGCUAGGUGAGCGGGGACCUGGGGACUGUUUUUGUUGCCCACACAUACUCCUUUUCCUCUCUGGGACCAGUUUCUCCAACUAUAAAAUGACGAUAAUUAUAGGUGCCCUGCAGCCAGCUUUGUGAGUAGGAAAUGAGAAGCUCUAUAUGAAAGCAGGUCAAGUUUAUGGAGCAGAAAUGCCCCCAUAAAACCCAAGGUGAUGCUGUUGUUAUAAGUAUGAAGCCUGCUUGCUGUGUUAAUAGUGGGCAUCUGUCAGAGGUGGGCAACGUCAUGGCUUCAUCACGCCUGCCUGAGGGAGCCAGUCCUCGGGGGUCCUCUCAGCACUGGUCAGGUGCCUGGUGCCCUGGGGGGAGGGCCGGGGGGGGGGUAUGGGUUUCCUGGCUCUCUCCUCCUCUCUCCCCUCCCCAUGCAGCUGGGCCCCCAGGGCACAGUCUAUUCCCACUGAUGUUGUUCCCACAUUCCGAGGGCUUGGCCUCCACCUUCUCCCCAUCUCUACCUCCAGUUCCCAUUUCUUGGGCUGUUCAUGAGCAGACAGAGCCUUCCAUUUCCCUUCCAGAGAAUGGCCCUGCUCUGGGUAACUUCACGGAUAACACAGCGCCAUAAAGAUUUUCUGGAGGUAAUUGCUUCUUGGUCUUUGUUGUUUCCUUCAAGAUGGGGAUUUGGGGCCAAGUAGGCAUAGAAGAUGUGACCUGGAAGGGAUAAUAUUGGGGACAUGGGACCCUAACAGGUGGGCAUCUCCCUACCUGUGGAAGGGAAAGAUCACCCUCAUGGAUGGUGCCCACUCUGCUUGGGCACCAUCUGCUGGUUGGGUCGCUAAGUAAGUCACCUACCCUCUCUGAGCCUCUGUUAGCGUAUCUGAAACAUGGAAAUCCGGUUGUGUUAUGUUGUGAGUCUAAGAGACAAUGUGACCUGGACGUUUAGUACACACGCAGUCGAUAAAUCAAUGACAGCAUUGGUUACAGCAGGCCCGGGCACAGGAGGGCUGCCCGUGGGUUACCGGCAGCACAUGUCCUUGCCCAGGCUGUCUCCUCUUGCCACCCAGUCUGCACCGGCCUGCUUUCUCAUCUGCUCGCUCCUCCCCCAGUACCCGCCCCUGUUGUCUGUUGGAAUCUAAUCAAAGAGGCACACAGGCAGAUUUUUAAACAAUGCCUGCCCAGCCUAAGGUGACUCAUCCGACAGCUGUGACCCCUUACUCUCCUCCAUGUGGGCAUCAGCAGCACCAGCACGGGUCUGGGGAAACCCCCCCCCCCACCCCGGGGAGGGGAGCAGGAGGGAAUGGGGCCGGCGCAUCCUCCCCUCUCCCCUGGAAUAGGCUUUUGGCAAGCUUUGGGGAAAGGUGGUUCCCCCCCACCCCCACCCAAGACCCUCCUGUCCAAAAAGGAGCAGCUCUCUGGCUGUUGGGCAGGGUCAGGGGGAGGGGUCCCAACAUCCUCCGGCCGUCGCAUGUCAUUUCCUGCUUUUGGACCUGAUGUCACUGACAUCAAGUGUGCGAGCCGUCCCUGCCCUGAAGGCACUUUGGAGUGAUGCUGACAACCUUCAGACUGGAAAGAAAGGAGUGAAUUCCCGGUAGAAGGCUGGGCCUUGCCUGCAUUUUACAGACGGACUCAGGAUCCUCCCCUUCGCUCUGCCUGCCCUUCUUGUCUCCUGCCCUGGGUGAGAGGAUCGUAGUGAAAGCGCCCCCCGCAAGCCUGAGAUGUCCAUGAUGAGGGCUGCUCUUAGCGGAUGCCGUCUCUGGCGGGACACAUGUGAUCUGCUUCAAAGAGAUUUCACUGGGAUCCUGACAUUUGGGAAACAUCAAUAGAAUAACGAAAACCCAGAAACCAUUCCAGCAAUCAAGUCGCAUGUAUUAUUCUGGAACAGUCUCACAGCUUACUUGUUUGUGCCCUCAGAGAGGGUCCAGGGGACAAGGCGCCUCAAUUUCUCUUUCCCGUGAAACGCCUCUAAAAUAGCCCUGCCUGCUCCUUCGACUGUGAGCACACAUUUUCAAGCUUUUAAUAAAAGCAUCUUUUUAUGAA